AUCGAACUCGGAGAUAGCUGGUUCUCCUCGAAAUAGCUUUAGGGCUAGCCUCGAGAUGGAGUCUAACGGAGGUAAAGCACUGAACUGACGCGGGGCCCAAAAAGGUUACCAACUCAUAUCAAACUAAGAAUGCCGUCAAGAUACCCUCGGGAGUCAGUCUGCGUGAGAUAAGUCGCGUGGACAAAAGGGAAAGAGCCCAGACCGACAGCUAAGGUCCCAAAGUACGUGUUAAGUGGAAAAGGAUGUGGGAUUUCAUAGACAACUAGGAUGUUGGCUUAGAAGCAGCCAUACAUUUAAAGAGUGCGUAACAGCUCACUAGUCGAGAAAACCUGCGCCGAAAAUUUAACGGGGCUAAAACACGACACCGAAGCUACGGCUUGACAGCUAACGCUGUUAGGGGUAGAGGAGCAUCCUGCAAGGACGAAGCCAAAGUGGAAACGAUGGUGGACGAAACAGGAGAGAGAAUGCCGGAAUGAGUAGCGAGAUAGAAGUAAGAAACUUCUAGGCCGAAUAUCUAAGGUUUCCUGGGUAAAGCUAAUCUUCCCAGGGUUAGUCGGGGCCUAAGGCGAGGACGAAAGUCGUAGUCGAUGGAUAACAGGUUGAUAUUCCUGUACUACGUAUCAUCAGAACUGUGGGGACGCAGGAGGAUAGGAAAACCGGGGAAUGGAAAAACCCGGCUAAGCACAAAGUCAAGGGAGAUAGGCAAAUCCGUCUCUUGAUGAUGAAGUGCGAUGGGGACUGAACAAAAGUAGGGAAGUUUCCGAAUCCACACUGUCGAGAAAAGCCGCUAUUGUGUGAUACGUACCCGUACCGUAAACCGACACAGGUAGAUGAGGAGAAAAUCCACAGGCCGACGGGAGAAGUGUUGUUAAGGAACUCGGCAAAAUGACCCCGUAACUUAGGGAGAAGGGGAGCCACGCAAGUGGCCGCAGAAAAGAGGCUCAAGCGACUGUUUAGCAAAAACACAGGUCUCUGCGAAACCGAAAGGUGAAGUAUAGGGGCUGACGCCUGCCCGGUGCUGGAAGGUUAAGAGGAGAUGUCAUCGCAAGAGAAGCAUUGAAUUGAAGCCCCAGUAAACGGCGGCCGUAACUAUAACGGUCCUAAGGUAGCGAAAUUCCUUGUCAGGUAAGUUCUGACCCGCACGAAAGGUGUAACGAUUUGAGCACUGUCUCGACAACACGCCCGGUGAAAUUGAAGAACCAGUGAAGAUACUGGUUACCCGCAACAGGACGGAAAGACCCCAUGGAGCUUUACUGCAGCCUGAUACUGGGAUUCGAUGAUAUAUGUACAGGAUAGGAGGGAGACUAGGAAUCCGGGACGCCAGUUUCGGAGGAGUCGACGGUGGGAUACCUCUCUUAUGUUAUUGGAUUUCUAACUUGGCACCGUGAUCCGGUGUGAGGACAAUGUCAGGCGGGCAGUUUGACUGGGGCGGUCGCCUCCUAAAAGGUAACGGAGGCGCUCGAAGGUCACCUCAGAAUGAUUGGAAACCAUUCAAAGAGUGUAAAGGCAAAAGGUGGCUUGACUGCGACACCGACGGGUGGAGCAGGUACGAAAGUAGGACUUAGUGAUCCGGUGGUAUUAAGUGGGAAUGCCAUCGCUCAACGGAUAAAAGCUACCCUGGGGAUAACAGGCUUAUCUCCCCCAAGAGUUCACAUCGACGGGGAGGUUUGGCACCUCGAUGUCGGCUCAUCGCAUCCUGGGGCUGAAGUAGGUCCCAAGGGUUGGGCUGUUCGCCCAUUAAAGCGGUACGCGAGCUGGGUUCAGAACGUCGUGAGACAGUUCGGUCCCUAUCCGUUGUGGGCGCAGGAAAUUUGAGAGGAGCUGUCCUUAGUACGAGAGGACCGGGAUGGACGUACCUCUGGUGUACCGGUUGCAGACCAACUGCACAGCCGGGUAGCUAUGUAUGGAACGGAUAAACGCUGAAGGCAUCUAAGCGUGAAGCCGCCCUCAAGAUAAGAUUUCCCAUUCUUCGGAAGUAAGAUCCCUUAAAGAUAAUGAGGUAGAUAGGUUGGAGGUGUAAGCACGGUAACGUGUUCAGCUGACCAAUACUAAUAGAUCGAGGGCUUGACCUA
rnacentral:rRNA from 1 species